AGUGAACGCUGGCGGUAUGCCUAAUACAUGCAAGUCGAACGAAAGCACAGGAAGAGUGUGCCCCUACCGGUGGCGACUGGCGGAUGGGUGACGCAUACAUAGGCUACUAAUAUUACGUGGGGGACAACGUAGGGAAACUUAUGCUAACACCGAAUACAUCCAACGGGAGAAAGCAGUGGGUCAUCAGAGUUUGCGCGAUUGAUAGAGACGGUGCCGGAUUAGCUAGUUGGCGUGGUAAAGGCCCACCAAGGCAACGAUCCGUAGCUGGUCUGAGAGGAUGAUCGGCCACACUGGAACUGAGACACGGUCCAGACUCCUACGGGAGGCAGCAGUAGGGAAUAUUGGGCAAUGGGCGCAAGCCUGAUCCAGCCAUGCCGCGUGGGUGAAGAAGGCCUUCGGAUUGUAAAACCCUUUUAUUAGGAAAGAAAAACUGCGUAAUUAACUACCGCUGUUCUGACGGUACCCAAAGAGAAAGCCCCGGCUAACUUCGUG
rnacentral:rRNA from 1 species